rnacentral:rRNA from 1 species
GACGAACGCUGGCGGCGUGCUUAACACAUGCAAGUCGAACGAAGUGGCGAACGGGUGAGUAACGCGUAAUCAACCUGCCCUUCAGAGGGGGACAACAGUUGGAAACGACUGCUAAUACCGCAUAAUGAAGGAGGGGAUUGCGUCUGAUUAGCUAGUUGGAGGGGGAACGGCCCCACAAGGGGAUGAUCCGUAGCCGGUCUGGGAGGAUGAAUGGCCAAAUUGGGACUGAGACAAGGCCCAGAAUCCUACGGGAGGCAGCAGUGGGGAAUCUUCCGCAAUGGACGAAAGUCUGACGGAGCAACGCCGCGUGAGGGAUGACGGCCUUCGGGUUGUAAAGCUCUGUUAAUCGGGACGCGGUACCGGAAUAGAAAGCCACGGCUAACUACGUGCCAGCAGCCGCGGUAAUUC